AUUUGGGUGACUGUGCUCCUCUACAAGCCAGUUACCUCGGUUCAGAAACUUGCCGGUUUCUCGAACCUUCGAAAAACCACCUUGCCGGGUGGUUUUUUCGU
rnacentral:antisense_RNA from 1 species